rnacentral:rRNA from 1 species
ACGCUCGACACCUACGGGGGCAGCAGUGGGGAAUAUUGCACAAUGGGGGAAACCCGUGAUGCAGCGACGCCGCGUGGAGGAAGAAGGUCUUCGGAUUGUAAACUCCUGUUGUUGGGGAAAAGAGGAUGGUACCCAACAAGGAAGUGACGGCUAACUACGUGCCAGCAGCCGCGGUAAUCUGAGCGGGCUGGCAAGGC